rnacentral:rRNA from 1 species
UACGGGGGGGGGCAAGCGUUGUUCGGAAUUACUGGGCGUAAAGGGCUCGUAGGCGGCCAACUAAGUCAGACGUGAAAUCCCCAGGCUCAACCUGGGAACUGCGUCUGAUACUGGAUGGCUUGAAUCCGGGAGAGGGAUGCAGAAUUCCUGGUGUAGCGGUGAAAUGCGCAGAUAUCAGGAAGAACACCAAUGGCGAAGGCAGCUCUCUGGGACGGUACUGACGCUGAGACGCGAAAGCGUGGGGAGCGAACAGG